rnacentral:lncRNA from 1 species
GGAAGAGGUUUCCAAGGGAGGGAGGCAGGAAUCUGAAAGAACAUUGGAGCAUCAACCAAGAAAAUAAAGAAUUUGCAAAUGAGGAAAAAAAGAGAGAAGAAAAAAGAGAAAAGAGGAGGAGGAUGGGAGUUAGGACACAGAAGAGAAGGAGAAGAAGGAGAAUGGUAUGGUUUGGCUUUGUGUCUCCACCCAUAUCUCGCCUGCAAUUGUUGUCUUCAUAAAUCCCCACGUGUCAAGGGUGGGACCAGGUGGAGGUAAUUGAAUCAUGGGGGUGGUUUUCCCCAUGGUAUUUUUGUGAUAGUGAGUGAGUUCUCAGGUGAUCUGAUGGUUUUAUAAGUGUCUGGCAUUUCCCUCUUGCACUCUCACUCUGUUCUGCCACCCAGUGAGGAAGAUGCCUGCUUCUCCUCUGCCUUCUGCCAAGAUGGCAAGUUUCCUGAGGCCUCCCCAGCAAGAUGGAUCUGCACUUCAUCACCAAAGCAACAAGAUGUGGAGCAUGAGCAGUUCAACCUUUGAAGAUAACUCAGACUAAUUUGGCCAGCCUCUCCGUCUGAGGGUCUGAGAUCAUAAGAAGGUUUGGGAAAAGAGAAAGUUGUCAUUAAAUUGACAUCAAACAACCAGAAGACAACUUGGGAAAAAGCAGGAAUUUAUGUCCUUCAGCUUUUGCUAAGAUAUUCAUGCCAUGAUAUUUGGCCUAUAUUCCCUUCCAAUUGAGGACCUCUUCUCAUGGAGAAAAAAGUUAAGAACAAGAGAAGAAAACUGCCUUGCUCAAGUACACAUAGGAUAAAACUAAGUGACUGAGCUGGAAUACCAACAGCAGCCUAAUAACUUUAAUUCAGUGAUUUUUCCACCAAAGACUCAACAGCAACUGAUAAGAAUUUGAAAUACCAGAGUAGCUUAACAAAGACUCUGAGAAGUCCUGCAAUAAGGAAGUAUCAUUAACUUUGUUGAACAUUUUUUACCAUUGACUCCAUGAUAUAGUUUGAAUAUUUGUCCCCACUCAAAUCCCAUGUUGAAUUGUAAUCCCCCAUUUUGGGAGUGGGGCCUGGUGGGAGGUGUUUGGGUCAUGGGGGCAGACACCUCAUGGCUUGGCACUGUACUUGCAACAGUGAGUGAGUUCUCAUGAGAUCUGGUUAACUGUUUGGCACCUCCUCCCUCCUCACUCCUACAAGAGAUGUGAAGGAGUGCCAUGUGAUGUGCAAGCUCCUACUUCGCCUUCUACCAUGAGUAAAAGCUCCCCGAGGCCUCCACAGAAAAUGAGCAGAUGCCCUUGUUAUGCUAGUACAGCCCACAGAACUGUGAGCCAAUUAAACUUCUCUUCUUUUUAAAUUACCCGGUCUCUGCUGUUUCCCUAUAAUAAUGCAAGAAUGGCCUAAUACACUCCCUUAUCUGCAUACCGUGUAUCUCCAUUUUAUAGAAGGAUGCUUUGUGACGUAUGCUAUAAGAAAUACUGCUCUAAAGAGUUUUUGUAGAUGAGAUGGCUAAAGUAUCACAGAAAUGGUAUUGUGAACAACCAUUCUGAAAUGGAUGGGCCUUGGAAAUAAUGAUCUAAAAAUUCAGAAACUAAAAUAUUUGUCCCAUGAAAUACUCUCUAAAUGAGUUCCAUGUCCAUGUAAAUUUAGGCAACAUUGCACAUUAUAUCCAUUUUCUUAGAGAGUAAACAUGCUGGAAAAAAAAACAGCGUUACUUUAUCUAAUUAAAUUUUAGAAGGUUUAUUUGAAUAUCAAAAUUCAUUUCCCCCCAGGAGUAAUGAUAAAUACUAGGGGAGCUAGUGUGAAAAGUGCUUUGGAAAAAUAUGAUGUGGUAGCAAGAAGAGAUUUAAGAUUCCAACCAAUUCAGAUUUAAUUUUUGGCUCUGCUACUUGCCAGAUGAGAUUUAUUUAUGUGGGAGUUUCUGAAGAUUCCCAUGGUAAAUAGUAUUCCUCUUCCCUGCUUAGGUUUUGAAGAAGUUGAAUAAAUAAUUAAAUGUAAAUGUUGAUAGCAUAAGAUGACCUUUAUCGCUAACAGAGGUCAGGUUUUAGGACAUAGCUAAAAGUCUGCUAAUGCUGGUGGACUUGCUCACACAGAAAGAACAC